GUUCGUGCUUCGGGACAUCCGAUAAAAUUGGAACGAAACCGAGAAGAUUAGCAUGGCCCCUGCGCAAAGAUGACACGCAUAAAUCGAGAAAAGGUCCAAAUUUUU